rnacentral:rRNA from 1 species
UCCUACGGGAGGCAGCAGUGGGGAAUAUUGGGCAAUGGGCGAAAGCCUGACCCAGCGACGCCGUGUGGGCGAUGAAGGCCUUCGGGUUGUAAAGCCCUGUUGGGUGGAAAGAAGGAGCCAGAGACGAAUAAUCUUUGGUUCUUGACGGUACCACCAGAGGAAGCACCGGCUAACUCCGUGCCAGCAGCCGCGGUAAUACGGAGGGUGCAAGCGUUGUUCGGAAUUACUGGGCGUAAAGGGCGCGUAGGUGGUUGUGUAAGUCGGAUGUGAAAUCCCCAGGCUCAACUUGGGAACUGCAUCCGAUACUGCAUGACUAGAGUGCAGCAGAGGGAAACGGAAUUCCUGGUGUAGAGGUGAAAUUCGUAGAUAUCAGGAGGAACACCGGUGGCGAAGGCGGUUUCCUGGGCUGACACUGACACUGAGGCGCGAAAGCGUGGGUAGCAAACAGGCUUAGAUACCCUGGUAGU